rnacentral:rRNA from 1 species
GAUGAACGCUGGCGGCGUGCCUAAUACAUGCAAGUCGAGCGAACAGACGAGGAGCUUGCUCCUCUGACGUUAGCGGCGGACGGGUGAGUAACACGUGGAUAACCUACCUAUAAGACUGGGAUAACUUCGGGAAACCGGAGCUACUACCGGAUAAUAUAUUGUACCGCAUGGUUCAAUAGUGAAUGACGGUUUUGCUGUCACUUAUAGAUGGAUCCGCGUCGCAUUAGCUAGUUGGUAAGGUAACGGCUUACCAAGGCAACGAUGCGUAGCCGACCUGAGAGGAUGAUCGGCCACACUGGAACUGAGACACGGUCCAGACUCCUACGGGAGGCAGCAGUGGGGAAUCUUCCGCAAUGGGCGAAAGCCUGACGGAGCAACGCCGCGUGAGUGAUGAAGGUCUUCGGAUCGUAAAACUCUGUUAUUAGGGAAGAACAAAUGUGUAAGUAACUAUGCACGUCUUGACGGUACCUAAUCAGAAAGCCACGGCUAACUACGUG